rnacentral:lncRNA from 10 species
CUCAGGCUAUUCAAGAGACUUUAGUAAAGGGACAAUUUUCAGAGAUGUGGGCAGAAUUAAGGAAUGCAAUAGGGAUGGUGAGGUGCUCAGGGGAGGGCAACAGCAGAAGCCAAUCUCAUUUCUAGGUCUGAAGGGGUAAGGGGAGUGGACACAGGACAAAAGCCAGGAGAGAUCCGGAGCUUGGAGAAGAAAUGAAGCCACCGCGUGGGAGCUCUGCCCAGUGCAGGAUGUCGCAGGAGCCCCUCUCCCUCCUUCUGCCCCUUUAUCUCUGCCGUGCCUUCCAUUGGGUGAAUUCAACCAGGCCCCAGGGGCAACGGAGCAGCAAGGUCAGCUUCCUGGGGCCCAGGGCAGGGCAGAGGAGGGCAGAGUAGAUGGGGAAACUGACAGUGGGAAAGCAGGGCAAAGCCACAACACUGGGCACCAUGCUAACAGCAUCAAAUGAGGAACACACUGUCCAC